UACGGGGGGGGGCAAGCGUUUAAUCGGAAUUACUGGGCGUAAAGGGCGCGUAGGUGGUUAUGUAAGUGAGAUGUGAAAUCCCUGGGCUUAACCUAGGAAUGGCAUUUUAGACUGCACAGCUAGAGUACAUGAGAGGGUAGUGGAAUUUCCGGUGUAGCGGUGAAAUGCGUAGAUAUCGGAAGGAACACCAGUGGCGAAGGCGGCUACCUGGCAUGAUACUGACACUGAGGCGCGAAAGCGUGGGGAGCAAACAGG
rnacentral:rRNA from 1 species